CCGGACAGAAGGUCAGCCCAUAGAUG
rnacentral:piRNA from 1 species